CAGCAGCCGCGGUAAUACGGAGGGUGCAAGCGUUAUCCGGAAUCAUUGGGUUUAAAGGGUCCGUAGGCGGGCAUAUAAGUCAGUGGUGAAAGUCUGUGGCUCAACCAUAGAACUGCCAUUGAUACUGUAUGUCUUGAAUCGUUGUGAAGUGGUUAGAAUAUGUAGUGUAGCGGUGAAAUGCUUAGAUAUUACAUAGAAUACCGAUUGCGAAGGCAGAUCACUAACAACGUAUUGACGCUGAUGGACGAAAGCGUAGGUAGCGAACAGGAUUAGAUACCCUGGUAGUCUACGCCGUAAACGAUGGAUACUAGCUGUUUGGACUUCGGUCUGAGUGGCUAAGCGAAAGUGAUAAGUAUCCCAUCUGGG
rnacentral:rRNA from 1 species